rnacentral:miRNA from 1 species
AGAUGAUGAUGAUGAUGAUGUGAUGAUGAGAAUCCUCAUCACGUCUAUGAAUCAUGAUGAUGAUGAUGAUUCUCAUCAUCACAUUAGCAUCAUCA